CUUUCUUUGCUGGCGACCGGCGCACGGGUGAGUAACACGUAUCCAACCUGCCCUUUACUCGGGGAUAGCCUUUCGAAAGGAAGAUUAAUACCCGAUAGCAUAAUGAUUCCGCAUGGUUUCAUUAUUAAAGGAUUCCGGUAAAGGAUGGGGAUGCGUUCCAUUAGGUUGUUGGUGAGGUAACGGCCCACCAAGCCUUCGAUGGAUAGGGGUUCUGAGAGGAAGGUCCCCCACAUUGGAACUGAGACACGGUCCAA
rnacentral:rRNA from 1 species